GAAACAAAUGAUGGCCCCGCCCUCUCUGAUCCACAUGAAGGAUCAAGACUAACUCCAGCAUAGAGGGUCAGAGUGAAUGUGGUCUAGACUCUCUGAAGACCUGAGGGGUAUUCCAGAAAGCAGGUUCAACACACUCUGAGUCUAUCCCUGAACUCUGAGUUGACUUACUCUGAGUCGGGAAACUCUGAGUAUCCGGUUCCAGAACAGCUGAUCUGAGUUAGUUCAAUCAACUCUGAGUAUGUUAACCUCGAGGUACGCGCGUGCACAACCACUGAAAAAAGCCAUCAUCAAUGGAGCCCCGAUACCACGAGUCACCAUGACAACCGAGAAAAAAAAAAGAUCAACAUAUUUCAGUGCGAAGGAGUUGGAGAUCCUUUUGCUGGGCUACGGAGAAUAUGAGCACAUAUUUCGCCGCGAAUGCAACACAGCUGCAGCAGCGAAGGAGAGAGAGACCGCAUGGGAGAAAAUUGCUGCCCGAGUCAACGCGUGCAAUCCAACAGGAGAAAGGAGGACUUGGAAGCAGCUCAAAAUGAAACAUAAAAACAUCAUUCAAAAAGGUAAGGCAUAUUUUGCUAGGCUAUGAUUGCACCUCACUUUGAUUUAUUUUUUUAUUUUUAAUUCACUAAGGCUAUUAAACGUAACGUAAAUAUUAAUUCAGAUUGCAAACAUUGAGUUCUGCUCUGCCAACAGAAAGAAGGCAGAGGCCCGAAAAACGGGUGGAGGGUCACCUCCACCACCUCUGUCAGAGGCUGAGGAGCUGGCUCUCAGCCAAUACAGCGGUCGCCCUGUGGCUGAAGGCAUCCCCGGGGGAAGCUCAUCUGAGCCUGUCACCCCCCAGGACACAAGUGCCUACAUCAGAUGCAAGUAUACACUUAUGUCUUUUUUUUAAAUAAAACUUUUAUAUAUAUAUAUACUUGUCUUUUUUUAAAAUAAAACUUUUACAUAUAUAUAUAUAUAUAUAUAUAUAUAUAUAUGCAAUCUGAAUUAUAUAGAGGAGGAGGAGACGCUGUCUGCUGCCACAGGGAGAGAUCCGGAGGGGCCUACUGAAGUGUGUCUUAAUAUUAUGUAUAGCUAGUGGCACUGCUCUACCCAUUCAUAUUCAUUUACAUUCUUGAGUGGAAUUUGGAGUUUGGGUUAGGGUUAGUACACUGAAGUGAUGAGCAUAGAUAAUGGACAAACUAGCACAUUCUUGUCCUUCAACAGAACAUGGUUGGGCAUCACCAAGAGGAGGGUCCAUCAACUUCUAGAGCACAGCUUGACACAGUGAGAUUUUGGGUCAAUACCAUGUUAAAUCUGUAUGUAGAACUGCAGGAAUUAAAUUAAACGUCCAUAUGUUCCUGAGUUGCCGGUGAAAGAGUUGUACAGGGUGCACCUAAUGAAAACCAUUCAAAAAAACGAGAAAGAAAUGGUGUACCUGGACCGGCAAAUCAGAAAAACAGACUUGUAAAUUCUAUUACUUGAACGCCAGUUGAGGUGGGUGCAUUGUCAUGGUGAAACAGGUGAAUAUGUGAAAUAUGUUAAUAGUUGGAACUAUAUUACAAAUCCUGACUGUUGCUUUUGUACUUUUAGAGAAUAAAGAAGAACCAAAUCACA